UGCCCAGCUUCCCUAGUAAGGGGCUCGACAAAAUAAUCAUCACGUCAUCUCCGUCAUCAUCAUCAUCAUAACCAUCCUCAUCACCAAUCAUAUAUAUAAUAUACAUACCCGGCCCUCUAGUGAGGAACUCGGUGACAUAUGCAAGAAACUCCGCACGAACAUUACCCGGCCCGGGACUCGGUGAAAUGAUAAAUGACUCUAUGCACGAGCAGAAUAUUAUGAGCAACCAUAUGCAAUUAAAAUCAUUUCUUAUAACUCAAUAGAACAAUCAACGUGAACCAGCAAGGAGUAUUACCAAAGAUUAAUAUUUUAUCAAGAUUAUGAACCUUUAAUACGAUAUGGAAACGUAAAAUCUCAAUGACUCUAAGAAGCACUACCAUAGAUAUGAGAGAUCAUCAUAGACUUAGACAUAGCCGAUAUAUAGAGGAAUAAUUGUGGGAGCAAGAACAUACGUCACCUACACGCUCUAGAGGUAAGUAUCAAAUCUGUCCGUUAUUCGCUUAUUUUUAAAAGUCAUGCCAAACAAAGAAAGAAGGGACAGCGUUACAUACC
rnacentral:lncRNA from 1 species